rnacentral:rRNA from 1 species
GAUGAACGCUGGCGGCGUGCCUAAUACAUGCAAGUCGAGCGAACGGACGAGAAGCUUGCUUCUCUGAUGUUAGCGGCGGACGGGUGAGUAACACGUGGAUAACCUACCUAUAAGACUGGGAUAACUUCGGGAAACCGGAGCUAAUACCGGAUAAUAUUUUGAACCGCAUGGUUCAAAAGUGAAAGACGGUCUUGCUGUCACUUAUAGAUGGAUCCGCGCUGCAUUAGCUAGUUGGUAAGGUAACGGCUUACCAAGGCAACGAUGCAUAGCCGACCUGAGAGGGUGAUCGGACACACUGGAACUGAGACACGGUCCAGACUCCUACGGGAGGCAGCAGUAGGGAAUCUUCCGCAAUGGGCGAAAGCCUGACGGAGCAACGCCGCGUGAGUGAUGAAGGUCUUCGGAUCGUAAAACUCUGUUAUUAGGGAAGAACAUAUGUGUAAGUAACUGUGCACAUCUUGACAGUACCUAAUCAGAAAGCCACGGCUAACUACGUG